GAAGGAGGAAGAUGGACGGUUGACCUGGUCAGGAUGUCUCCCACAACCGCUGUCUGUUCCCCUCCAGGACCCUCAGAGAGAUCUGGAAGGAUGACAGAGUCUGAUUCUGCAAACCUAGCAAGGAUGGAAGGAGGAAGAUGGACGGUUGACCUGGUCAGGCUGUCUCCCACAACCUCUGACUGUUCUCUCUCAGGACCCUCAGAGAGAUCUGCAGGUGAUGAACAGGACAGUCAUCGUUCUCGGGUGUCAUCAGAAAGAACCAAGCAUGAAGUCAAAGGAAAGACCUUUCAAGAUCAACAAGAAACAAAACCACAAGAGAACAACCAAGAAGAGAUCGGGAGGAAUAAUGGUUUUAUUACGCAGACUGAUAACGGCCAUUGAAUCCCAGUCCAGAAAAAAACAUCACAAGGGGAAGAGAUCAAAUGAUAGCUCUUUAUCUGGCAAAACAUUCAAAGGUAAAUCUAGCCUCAACUCACACUGCAUAAUUCACACAGAGGAGAAACUGUGUAAAUGCUUGGUGUGUGGAAAGAGUUGCAGUGACAGCUCAGGCCUAAAAUCACAUGAAAGAAUUCACGCAGGACAGGAAUCCUAUGAAUGUGGAAAGAGUUUCAAUCGCCACUCAAGCCUUAAAACGCAUCAGGAAGUCCACAGCGAGGAGAAACCACAUAGAUGCUUUGAGUGUGGAAAGAGAUUCAGUCGCAACAGAAGCCUUACAGAACACCAAAAAAUUCACACAGGGGAGAAAGCAUAUAAAUGUCUGGAGUGUGGAAGGAGAUUUGCACAUGGAUCUAGCCUUACUUAUCAUAGAAGAACUCACAUGGGAUAAACCAUAUGUAUACUUGGAAUGUGGGAACAGAUUUGGUCAGAUUUCACAACUCAUUUUGCGUAAGUGAAUCAAGAGGAGAAAAAUAUUUAGAUUCUUGUAAUGAGGAAGGCACUUUAAUUUAAUUAGAACACCACUGUUG